rnacentral:tRNA from 1 species
GCCGGAAUAGCUCAGUUGGUAGAGCAACCGCCUUGUAAGCGGUAGGUCGUCAGUUCGAAUCUGACUUCCGGCUCCA